rnacentral:rRNA from 1 species
AGUGAACGCUGGCGGUAGGCCUAACACAUGCAAGUCGAACGGCAGCACAGUAAGAUCUUGCUCUUACGGGUGGCGAGUGGCGGACGGGUGAGGAAUACAUCGGAAUCUACUUUUUCGUGGGGGAUAACGUAGGGAAACUUACGCUAAUACCGCAUACGACCUACGGGUGAAAGCAGUGGAUCUUCGGACCUUGCGCGAUUGAAUGAGCCGAUGUCGGAUUAGCUAGUUGGCGGGGUAAAGGCCCACCAUGGCGACGAUCCGUAGCUGGUCUGAGAGGAUGAUCAGCCACACUGGAACUGAGACACGGUCCAGACGACUACGAGAGGCAGCAGUGGGGAAUAUUAGACAAUGGGCGCGAGCAUGAUCCAGCCAUACCACGUGGGUGAAGAAGGCCUUCGGGUUGUAAAGCCCUUUUGUUGGGAAAGAAAAGCAGCAGGUUAAUACCCCGCGGUUCUGACGGUACCCAAAGAAUAAGCACCGGCUAACUUCGUG